AUACGUAGGGUGCAAGCGUUAACCGGAAUUACUGGGCGUAAAGCGUGCGCAGGCGGUUUUGUAAGACAGUGGUGAAAUCCCCGGGCUCAACCUGGGAACUGCCAUUGUGACUGCAAGGCUGGAGUGCGGCAGAGGGGGAUGGAAUUCCGCGUGUAGCAGUGAAAUGCGUAGAUAUGCGGAGGAACACCGAUGGCGAAGGCAAUCCCCUGGGCCUGCACUGACGCUCAUGCACGAAAGCGUGGGGAGCAAACAGGAUUAGAUACCCUGGUAGUCCACGCCCUAAACGAUGUCAACUGGUUGUUGGGGAUUUAUUUUCUCAGUAACGAAGCUAACGCGUGAAGUUGACCGCCUGGGGAGUACGGCCGCAAGGUUAAAACUCAAAUGAAUUGACGGGG
rnacentral:rRNA from 1 species